UUGGACUUACUUGUGCAGCAUAUAGUCUUCCAGACAAGUAUUUCAUCAACUGUGGUUCAGACACCGACGUGAAUUCUGGCAAUCGGAUAUUCAGAGGGGACCUGAAUUCAGAUUCCAUCUCCUUUUCAAAGCAGAGCCAUCCUGUUAAAAACAGCAGCCAGUUACCAGAUACAUUAGCUCUCUAUCAAACAGCAAGAGUUUUCAAUCAAUUAUCUUACUACGAAUUCGAUAUCAGCAGUGACGGCACUCAUCUAGUACGCCUUCAUUUCUUUGCUUUCUCCUUUGCGAUCAAUCUCUAUAGAGCUGUUUUCAACGUUUCCACUUCCCAUCCGUUUGUGCUGUUGCAUAAUUUUAAUGUCCAAAACAGUAGCCAGUCUCCGGUAAUAAAGGACUUCUUUCUUAGCAUCACUCAAGGCAAAUUCCGUGUCUACUUUAGGCCCCAAGAAUCAUCUUUCGCGUUUGUUAGUGCCAUUGAAGUCUUCCUUGUGGACCCUUUACCUCUAAGUUCCAUUCCUGAUAAUGGUCCACAUGUUAGUCCUAUAGGAACUAAGACUAAUUCUUACCCGGGAAUUCACCCAAAGGCUCUACAGACAAUUUAUAGGAUCAAUGUUGGUGGCCCUAUGAUUUCGCAAGAGAAUGACACUCUAGGGAGGAACUGGAUUCCUGAUGAUAGUUAUCUGUACAAUCCAGAUACAGCAAAAAAAGUUGAGUCUACAGCUAAUCUUAACUAUGGCUAUCGGGGAAUAGUUAGUGAAUACACUGCACCGGAUUCUGUUUACCAGACUGCAAAGCAGAUGAAUAUAAAUAACAGUAGGCUUUCUAAUAACUUCAACAUAACAUGGCGUUUUAACGUGAGUAAGAAUGCUAGGCACUUUGUUCGGGUUCAUUUCUGUGACAUUGUUAGCCCAUCUCAGAAUGUUUUCAAAUUUUUUCUCUAUAUCGAUGGCACCUAUUCGCAAGAAAUCAACCCGUACACAGCAGAUAUUUACCAGACUGCAACACCUUUUUAUUUUGAUUUCGAGGUUGAUUCGAAUGAUCGUGGAAUUAUGAACAUCAGUGUAGGCCCUAAAGCAGAAGCAGGGAGUAAGCCUGAUGCAUAUUUGAAUGGGCUUGAGAUAAUGGAGAUUUUGGAGAAAUCGGGUACAGUUCCUGUGGUCAAUGGACAUAAGAGAAAGCAUGUCAUGGUUGUAGUUGGCUCAGUGCUUGGAGGUUUGCUUCUGAUUUGCAUAUUGACAGUUGUACUGUUUUUUGUUUUGAUAUACAGAAAGCAAAAGCCUGAUGAAUUUCCUUUGGCUUUGGAGUUGUCUCCAUUACAUGUGUGUGGAGGAGGGAGUUCUCAUGGUAAGGUCCCUGAGGGAACUGGCGGCUCCCCAAUGCCUAAUGUAGACCUUGGAUUAAAAAUUCCUUUGGUAGAAAUUCAGUUUGCGACGCACAAUUUUGAUAGAAAGUUAGUGAUCGGCAAGGGAGGAUUUGGGAAUGUCUACAAAGGAACUCUCAGGAACGGCAUGAAAGUUGCUGUAAAACGAAGCGAACCAGGCUCAGGCCAAGGCCUUUCAGAAUUCCAAACUGAAAUAAUAGUCUUAUCAAAAAUUCGCCACCGCCAUCUUGUUUCCUUAAUUGGGUAUUGUGAUGAACGGCCUGAGAUGAUACUAGUGUAUGAUUUCAUGGAAAAAGGGACUUUGAGGGAUCACCUAUACAAGUCAAAGUCGCCCUGUUUGUCCUGGAUACAGAGGCUUGAAAUAUGCAUUGGUGCAGCAAGAGGUCUUCAUUAUCUACACGAAGGUGCAGCUGGCAGAAUCAUUCACCGUGAUGUGAAGUCCACAAACAUUUUGCUGGACAAAAAUCAUGUUGCCAAAGUUGCUGAUUUUGGCCUUUCAAGAUUGGGUACGCGUGAUGAAAACCACGUCAGCACAGCUGUUAAAGGAACUUUUGGUUAUCUUGAUCCUGAGUACUUCCGGUCACAACAAUUAACAGACAAAUCUGAUGUUUACUCAUUCGGUGUUGUUCUUUUCGAGGUUCUAUGUGCAAGACCAGCCAUCAAUGCCUCACUCCCAAGAGAACAAGUGAACCUGGCUGAUUGGGCAAUGCUUUGCAAGAACAAAGGGCAUCUUGAGGAGAUCGUAGAUCCUUUGAUAAAGGUUCAGAUCAGUCCAAACUCAUUGAGGAAAUUUGCUGAGAUAGCUGAGAAAUGUUUGCGGGAUGAUGGUGAUGACAGACCAACAAUGCGCGAUGUGUUGUGGGACUUGGAGUAUGCAUUACAGCUUCAACAAACUGCAAGGACGAGAGAGCCACAUGAAGACAGCACAACCGAUGCUUCAUCUGCAUUACCAUUCCCUAAUGUCAGGCGUUUUCCUUCAUAUAGCGUGUCGAUGAACGAAGUUGAUAUGCCCAUUUUGAGAGACCAGGACACUUCAAUCUCAUCAGAAAGCAAAGUCUUCUCUCAGCUGGGAAUUGCAGAUGCCAGGUAAAGUUACCGAAUUUAGGUUUCUUUAGCCUCUGCAAUUUGUAUUAGGUAAAUAUAAUCUGGACAAGCUUGCUCUGCUUUCUCUGUUUAUUAAUUCUCAUCUAUUCUCUGUGUUUUAAGGCAACUUAUAUGAUGCACUCUGUUACGAAACUUGCUUAGUUUGUAAGAAAUUUUGUAUAAUUGGAAUAUAUUUUAAGACAACUAUGAUUUUAUUUUCAACUAUUAUAGAUGGCUAAAAGACUAUUAGGAGUUUAAUUAGGCCUUUGCUUAAUUUUGAGACGUUAAGCGAAUAAAACUAUAAUUGUAAAAUUAUAAUUUUGACCAAGAAAAUAAUGGUAAUAUAAAGUUUUUCAUCAUAUAAUUAUAGCAUAAAAUUAACUUAACUUUCAAAUCAUUUUAAAAUUUUUUUGUCAAAUACAUUAGUACUCAAGGGAGGACCCUUGACUUUUUAUCAUGCCAUGCUAAUUUAUAAAUUUAAUUGAGUAAUAUUUGUGUCAAUGUCAGUCCGGUAAAGGAGUAAAAACAGCAUAUAUGUUAAGCAACGCAACAAUAAAUUUUUUAGUAAAAUACAUAUAUUUAAUAAAGAAUGACAACAUUGCAACAAAUAAGCUUGUUAGAAUAUAAAUUAUUAAAACAGUACAGUAAAAAAAUUAUUUAUGAAACUCUUUAUUAUUUUAGUGAUAGAAAAUAUGAUAUAUGUUGUUAAUUGUUAAUAUAUAAUUUUGUAAAUUUUUAAUACUAGCGACACUAUUAUAAUAUAUUGACAUACUUUUUUUUCCAAUUAUACUAAACUAUAAUUUUUUUUAUAAUAGGUUAAAACAAUACUAACAUUUUAAUUCAUAAUGAUUCUAAUUUAUUUAAUAAAUAUAUGAUUUAAUUAUUUCAUAAAAUAAGUUUCUAACUCUAAUUAGGAAGGGCGCCAAAAAAAAAAAAAAAAAAGGCGUGCUAUGAACUAAUGAAAUUUUACUUAAAAACUUUUGUGGUGUUCUUGGCCUCCUCAAACUAUUUAUAUGGUUGGUUGAUUGUAUCACGUUUGAUGUACCGUAACAUAUCUCUUUUUUUGUCUUUUCUUGAUCCACUGUUAAGAUCUAGCCCAAAAUUAAUUCAACGGCUAAAAUGUCUGUUGGAUUAUUAACACUAUAGUCCCUAAUGUUUGCUACAAAAUUAAAAAAAGUGAAAACGUUCAAAAUUUUGACAUAUAAGUCCACAAUAUUUAAAAUUUUUUUACACUUAGGUAUAUUAACCUAGUUAAUUUGAUCGAUAAAAUGACUUAUUCUUAUAUUUGAAAUAAUAUAUUCAAAUUAACACUCUUUCUUAUUAAAUAAUUAUUUAAUAGAUAGUAAACCCAUGUAUUAAUUUAAUAUAAUUAAUACAUAGUAAAAUGACUUAUUAAAUAAUUAAUUUAGUAUAUAGUAAACUCAUGAUAAAUGUGAAUAUGAAUUUAAUCUCUUGUUCUUAAUUUGUAGCUAAUAUUUUUUUUUCAUAAUACUUUUUCAAUAUAUAGUCAAUAAUUUCAAUACGUUGUAAAAAUAUAUUAAGUUAUCAAUUAAUAAGGUGUUUUGGUAUUGCUUAAUAAGACAGUACCAAAAAGGUGAGGCCCAAAGAAAAAAAAAAAUUGCUCUUCAUUUAGUCAUACAUCUAGAACUUGAUGAGCAAGUUUAGAAGUUUUCAAUGAGGAUUUGGAGCCAAAACAAUUUUAUGCUCCACAUUAAUUUAGAAUUUUUUUUUUUUUUUUUUUUUUUUUUUUUGCAUCUCAUGCUCAAUAACUUUGAGUCAGUGAUGGAAUUCAAUUGUUAAUUGCUAGAGAUAUGGAAUUGAAACUAGUGGGCAUGUAAACAGUUUAAUUAGUUUUUUUUAUAUUAUUUAAUUAAUUUAUUUAGUAAAAAUAAAAAUUAGUUUUUAUCAAGGAUAUAUAUGACAUUUAGGUAGAUGUACAGAGUAAAUUUUCUUUUUAAAACAUUGAUGAUUGGUGUGUGAAUUAGUAAUUAGAAAAAUAGCCCCACCUUUUGAUUUAAGUUCAAAAAAUUAAAAUAAGUAGGACUAACAAGCCAGAAUUUAGGACUAUCUGAUUUUUUUUUUAAUUUUAUAAUAAAAUAGGAAUUGCAAUGUAAUUAAUUCAAAAAAAUUAAAAAAAAAUGGAGUAUGUUACCAUUGUAAUAACAUAGCUAGAUCCUACAUAUAUUUAUAUUCAAUAAUUACUUGUUAUAGCUCCUAAUAGCUACACAAGAUAUUUCGAGAAGAACUUUGAUAAAUUGGACUUGAAAGAACAAAUCAGAUUUAAUCUAACAAGAAAGAAAUCACAAGAAUCAGACCCAGAGCACAGUUUCAAGUGCACAACUUGAUGAAGGAAAAAAAUGCUCUUUUAUUAAUCUCAACGAUCGAAUUACAAGCUGAUAACAAAGAAGAAAUUACAAGAAUCACAAAGAACCAAAUUGCAAGCAAAAUGAACAAGAAAUGAAGAAGAUAUCGAUAUGAUAUCAGAGGCUAGUCACAAGUGCCUUUUAUUCUGAUCUUUCUGGAAAAUGUCAUAACGAACUCUUAACGAAUUCUACCACAUCAGCAUAAGUUUUUCAACAAGGCCCCUCCAACUGAAGUCGAUAUGCACACUGCCCCAAGAAUUCUUCAAAUCUUGCAUUUAAACCCAACAUACUAGCAACUUAUUUCCUCACAUGGAUUGUUGAGUUGUGUCCCACAUUGGCUAGUAAAUGGGAGAUAUUUGAGUUUAUAAGGAGGUAGGUCACUCUACCCAAUAGGGAAGUUUUUUGGGUUAGAUACUUAGAAAUUUUAUAUUAAGUUCCCCCAACAAGUGGUAUCAGAGCUAAACCCUAGUAGCCGGAAUGUGGCGGUGAAACAACUCAGGUAUGUCGGACAAAAAGACCGGAGUCUGAUGGUGGUUUCGUCCGAGAAGGAAUUGUUGAGUUGUGUCCUACAUUGGCUAGUAAAAUGGAGAUACUUAGAUUUAUAAGAAGGUAGGUCACUCCACCCAAUAAACUAGUCUUUUGAGUUAGAUAUUUAGAAAUCUUAUGCUAAGUCCCCAACAUUACUAAUCACAUCUUUCUAAGUAGCUAGUGUAAAUAUCAAAUCAGCAUACAAUUCUUAACCUAUUUUUGUAUUCAGGUGAUAUUUAUGACUUUUUAACUGACUAGUUGUUGUGAAAUAGAGUAAUCAACGAGCUAGAGAUUACGUGGUAAAUGAUUCAUUGGUCCUUCUUCAUAUGCUAAUUUUCUGACGCGUAUAUGAAUCUUGAGUUGACUCUUAAAGAACCAAUUAUCAAACGAUGAAAGACUUUACCAAGUCUACGGGGUCCCGCAAGCAUGAAUUGAGUUUGACGCGGCGACCAUUUGCAUUCAAUUGGUGAUUAGAUAUUUAUCACUCAAUGUAUUGAUGCGUGAAAAAAAAAAAUAUAUUUAUUAGAAGACAAAAAAAUUAUUAUAAAAGAAAAAAAUACUUUACUCUAAAAUAAACCCACCCCAUAAUAAAUGCUUGAAAGUGAUUGGAUAUAAAUUUUUUAAAUAAUUUUUUAACAAUUAAAAACUCAUUAUUAAUUUGUAAUAAUUAGGGUAAUUCAGAAUCCAAUUCGAUCUACUUAAUCUAUCUUAUUCGUAGAAAUGUAAUUUUUAUGUGGAUUGGAUUGGAUUGAAAAUUAAAAAAUCUAUGAUUGGUGGAUUAGAUAUGGACUUACUUUUAUAAAUCAGUGGAAAUCCGUGAAUCCGCAAAAAAAAAAAAAAAUAUUUAUUUAAUUAAAAAAUAAAACUUAUAAAUGUGGCAUUAGUACUUACUAAUAAUUAAAUAAAUUAAAAUAUAGUUACAUUAACAUCAUAUUAUAUCAAAUAUGAUAAUAAUAUAUGAAAUAAAAAUAAUUAAAUGAACAAAUAUAACUUCUCAAACCGUUAAUUUUCAUGUGUCGAAAUAAAUAAGAUUUUUUCUUUUAAGUGUGUUAUAUUUUGAAACUUUGAAUGUAUUUUUUUGUGUUAUUUAAAAAAUUAAUUUAUUUAAUCUUAUUUAAUUUUGAAUUUGAUCGGUAGUAAAAUCAUUUUUAUAUUUAAUUAGUUUAUGGAUUGAGCAGAAUUAAAAAAUUUUAGUCCGCAAAACAAUCCAUAAAAUGGUGGAUUGAAUAUGAAUUGAGUCAAAUCUGCAUCCGAUCUGCAAACAUAUAAAUUAGAUUUAAGUUGAAUUUCACCAAUUUAUGAAUAUAAUAUAAUUAAAAAUUUAUAAUUUAUAAAAUCAUGAAUCGGAUAUGAAUUGAUAUCCAAUCCACAAAAUUUGAUCCACAAACACCCUUAGAAAUAAUCAUUUGAUCGAUCUCAACUGAUCGCUUUGCGAUCUUCAAUAUUUUUGUUGCCUCAUGGUGUGUUUGAUAUUAUUUGAUAUUUUCCGUAUUGCAAAAAUGAAAAUCAAGAAAAGAUAUUUGGGGGGCCUGUAAAUUGGCUUUUUCCACUUCUGAAGCACUGCAGAGAAGAGUUUGAAAAAAAAUGGGGGUUGUCGGUUGGUUGUCUCCCAGCAAGGCCCACAAACUACUUUUUUCUACAUUCUUUUUAGCAACUCUCUUGGUACAGCAACCCUUUAUUAGAAAAAUUUUAUACUAUUUUUUUCCCUCUUUGUCAAAUUUUUAAGUACGUAUCUCUCUAGUAUAAUAUCCGAUUUUUUUCCCUUUUUUUCCCUAAUCUAGUUUAAUAAGAACUGGAGUUAAUUUUAUUUGUAAAGUGUUUUUUUUACAUGUUAUUUCCUUUUUUAGAUGCGAUUUUUGAACAUUAUCAUGAAGCACUAGUUAUAGAAAUUUUUAUUUUUAAGAUGGUAAUAACUAAAUGCUAUUCUUUUUAAUACUUGCCUAUUUUCUUUUUCUUAAAUUAACUCCAGUUUUUAUUAAACAAGAUUAAGGAAAAAUAAGAGAAAAAAUGGCGAUCCUCGUCUAUUCUUUUUUGUUUUAAUCUUUUUAUCGCUGAUCCUUCUAAAUCUUGCCUGCAUUAAUUAGUUUGAACUUUUGUAUAGCAUCAACUCAGAAGCUUAAACGAUUGAUAGUGAUAAAAUGCACAUAAAUUUUAUUACGUCAUAUUAAUGGUGAUUUUAUCACUGUUUUUUUUUUCACCCUUUUGUUCAAAGCAUGGUUCUAAUUUGUGUAGUGUUUGCUUCUAACUCAUUCCCUCCAAAAAUAUGCUCUAUUCAAAGUCCAAUACUCUAGUACUUAUGUAUCUUUGACUCUUUGUCCAACAACAUGUUACGAAUCUUCCCUGUGAAGAAACGUGUUUUCAUUUCUUAAAUAAAGCAUUAUACAUUGAGAGUUAUUUAUAGAUGCAGCGGCUACAUUUUUUCAAAGAUUACAUGUGUGAAUACGGAAGGAAAUGUGUCAAUCCGUUCGGCGCGGAUCUUGUCUUUGACAAGUGCAGAUUACCCCUUUGACAAGUGCAGAUUCUGUAUUUGAAAGUUUCAUUCAAUGCCGUUUUAUAUGAUUCUCAACACUCCCCCUCAAGCUGGUGCAUAGAUGUCUUGCAUGCCCAACUUGUCUAGGAAUUUUGUAAAUGCCCUGCUUGAAAUGGCCUUCGUUAAAAUAUCUGCAAGUUGAUCUUCUGAUCGAAUUUUCGGCAGUUCUAAGAUUUUUUCAUCUAAUUUCUCCUUGAUGAAAAAUCUAUCUACCUCCACAUGUUUUGUUCGAUCGUGUUGAACUGGGUUAUGAGCAAUAUCUCGUGCAGCUUUGUUGUCACAGUAUAGUUGUAUUGGUUGUUGUGAUGGAUAGCCCAAAUCGUUUAAGAUAAAACUUAUCCAUAGCCCUUCACAUAUCCCAAGGGCCAUGCCUCGAUAUUCUGCUUCAGCGCUCGAACGGGCAACGACAUGUUGUUUCUUGCUUCUCCAUGUGACAAGGUUUCCUCCCACAAAGGUAAAGUAUCCUGAAGUAGAGCGUCUAUCACUAACUGACCCGGCCCAAUCUGCAUCAGUAUAAACUUCUAUGUUGCUGUAAUCUUCAUUUUUGGAAAAUAAGAUUCCUUUUCCUGGAUUUGUCUUCAGGUACCUCAGGAUCUGCAUUACUGCUUUCAUGUGUUGUUCUCCGGGAUUAUGCAUAAAUUGGCUUACAACACUCAAUGCAUAAGCAAGAUCUGGCCUUGUGUGGGACAAGUACAUCAAUCUUCCAAUCAGCCUUUGAUAUCUUCCUUUGUCUACUGGAACUUGGUCUGAAGUAAUACAAAACUUCAGUCCUUCUUCUAUUGGGGUGUUAAUAGGCUGACAAGCUGUCAUUCCCGUUUCGUGCAAUAGAUCUAAGGCAUAUUUCAUUUGAGACAGAAAGAUUCCUCCCUUAGAUCGAGAAACUUCAAUUCCAAGAAAGUAUUUUAAGGCACCUAAAUCCUUCAUCUCAAACUCUCUUGACAAGUACUUCUGAAGAGCCUCUGUUUCUUCCUCGUCGUUGCCUGUAACUACCAUUUCAUCCACAUAGACAAUAAGGGCAGUGAUUUUACCUUGUCGUUUUUUAAUAAAUAAGGUAUGAUCUGAAUUGCUUUGGUUAUACCCAAAACGAACCAUAGCCUUUGUGAAUUUCCCGAACCAUGCUCUUGGUGAUUGCUUCAACCCAUACAAUGAUUUCUUCAAUUUGCAUACUUUCUGAUUGAGUCGUUCUGGUCCACUGCAUCCUGGUGGCAAAUCCAUAUAAAUUUUUUCAGACAAGUCUCCAUGGAGGAAAGCAUUCUUUACAUCGAACUGUUGCACUGGCCAAUCCAAGUUGACUGCUAAUGAUAAUAAGAUACGAAUAGUAUUAAUUUUUGCUACCGGUGCAAACGUAUCAGUAUAAUCAAUCCCGUAGGUUUGGGUGUAACCCUUAGCUACAAGUCUUGCUUUGUAUCGUUCAAUAGAGCCAUCUACUUUGUAUUUUAUAGUGUAGAUCCAUCGACAACCCACUGGUUUCUUUCCUGGUGGAAGAUCAACUAGUUCCCAAGUUUGAUUUUUCUGAAGAGAUCUCAUUUCAUCAUUCAUAGCCACUUUCCACUUUGGAUCUUUUAAAGCUUCCUGCACACUGUUAGGAAUAAAUACAGCAGAUAAUUGAUUCACAAAUGACUGAUUUGAUUCUGACAAGCGAUGGUUAGACACAAAAUGACUCAUAGGGUAUUUGACUCUACUAGAGAAGUCAGGCUCAUAUGUGGGUUUAGGGAUACCUCUAUUUUGACGCUGGGGAAGAAUUCUUCUGAUCGGACUUGUGGUAGGAACAUCCUCUGCAGACGAUUGGUUAGGUAUUUCUUCAUGUGACUCAUUCUCGAUUGCAGUUGUGUCUGAGUUAUUGUGCUCCCCAAAUGUGUCUUCACAUAUCUCAGCCUGCGAAUCAUCACCAUUUGCUUUUCCUGUAUCUUGAAGGUUUACUAUCUCAAUGGAAGAUUGACUUUCUUCAGGUGGAAGAUAUGUAAGAGUAUGAAUUUCCUCUUCAUUAUACUCCCCCUGAAAUUCAGACUCUGAUAAGUAGUACAUGAUAUCUUCAUGAAAAACGACAUCCAUGGUGAUGUAUAUUUUUCUUGAUGGUGGAUGAUAGCAUCGGUAUCCCUUUUGAUGUAAGGCAUACCCUACAAACACACAACGUAGUGCUCGAGGAGAUAAUUUGUCUUGCUGCGGCAAAUGAACGAAGGCAACACAGCCAAACACAUGUGGGGGCAGAUUCGGCACAUUUGGUGACAUAAUUGCAUCAUUCAGAACUUGGAAAGGAGUCUGGAAUCCAAGGGAGCUUGAAGGUGUUCGAUUGAUCAAGUAUGCUGCGGAUGCCAGUGCUUCUCCCCAAUAAGAUAAUGGCAUGUGGGCUUGGAUUAGUGAUGCUCGAACAACUUCUAGUAAAUGUCUGUUUUUUCGUUCAGCAACGCCAUUUUGUUGGGGUGUCCCCACACAAGUGGUUUGAUGGACAGAUCCUUGUGAUUUCAGAAACUGUUGAAUUGUUGUGCUCAUAUACUCGCCUCCAUUAUCAGUAUGUAGAACUCGAAUUUGUGUCUGAAAUUGAGUUGUCACCAUCUUAUGAAAUCUUUGAAAUAAAGAGUUUACUUCGUCUUUCGAUUUCAUCAGAAAAAUCCAUGUCAUUCUGCUACAAUCAUCAAUAAAUGUAACAAACCAACGAGCACCUCCAAUUGUAGAAACUUUAGAUGGCCCCCAUACAUCAGAAUGUACUACCAUAAAAGGAACUAGAUUUUUAUUUAAGGACAAUGGAAAAGUAGUUCGAUGGCUUUUUGAAAGUUCACAAACAUCACAUUUAAAGUUACAAACAUCAAAUUUCAGAAACAAACUAGGAAAUAAUUUUUUUAAGUAACCAAAUGACACAUGCCCUAAACGUCUAUGCCAUAACCAAAUUUCUGAUUUCCCUUUUUUUAUGGAACUAUCUGCGACUAGUGCGGGGCUUAGCUUUCCAGUGUUUGUUGAUGACAUCUCCAAGUAGUACAAGUUGCCUCGUCUAAUACCAUAACCAAUCGUUUGCUUCGUUUGGAUGUCCUUAAACACACAAUGAUCAGGCCAAAAAAUUACAACACAUGAUAAGUAAGUGGUUAAUUGAGACACAGAUAAAAGAUUAUAAUCUAAAGAUGGAACAAUUAACACAGCGUCUAAAUUUAAUUCAUUUGUGAGUCGUAAAGAUCCUUCCCCAAUAACUGAGGUUGUGGUUCCAUUUGCAGUGGAAAUAUGUUUUUGUGAAGAUGGUUUCAAUUGAGAAACUUGUCGAGAAUCAAAAGUCAUAUGAUCAGUUGCCCCAGAAUCAAUUAUCCAUGUACUAUUAAUAACAGGUGUAAGAGUUUUAAGGGCCUUACCUGGACUGACAGAGGUUGCGAUUUGCACUGAAGAUUCUUUUCUAAGAUCUGUAGUGGAUGUGGAUACUGCAGUUUUUGAUCCAUGCUUGGUGUUCUUCUUUCGAGUAUCCCACCAGUCAGGAUAUCCAAUGAUUUCAAAACAUUGUUCUUUCGUAUGACCCUUCUUUCUACAAUGAGUGCAAUGGAGUGAUGACUUGUCAACAAACUUCCUUUGAGGUUGCUGUCGUGCUAUCAUAGCAGACGUUUCUGAGUCGACCUUCUUGUUUAGUUUGCUUUGCCGUAUAUCUUCUCUUCGGAUCAGAGAAUAACAUUCUUCUAAGUCUGGGAUAAUGUCUUUUCGUAGAAUUUCUCCACGAACUUGGUCAAAUUCUUCAUCUAGCCCAGCAAGAAAAAUGUGCACUCUCAAUCCUUCAACAGACCUUCUGUAUAUUACAACAUCUUCUGGAUCCUUCAUGACCACUUUAUCUCGGUGAUCAAGUUCUCGAAAUAUUUCGACCAAUUCUCCAUAGAAUUUAGAGAGUGGUUGUCCAUUUUGCUUGGUAGAGAAUGCCUUCUGGUUUAGAGUGAAAACUUGUAAUUCAUCGCUUCCAUCAUAGAAGGCUUUUGAUAAUGCAUCCCAGAUUUCGUAGGCUGUAGGAAUUCGUAAAUAUCGCUUCAUGAUCUCCGGAGACAUGGAUAUGAGUAACCAUCUUUUUACUUUUUGGUUCUCACUAUACCAUUUCUCAUAUUCCUUUGAAGAUUCCUCAAAUGGCUUUGUGUUGCUACGAAUAUAUGAGAGUUUUUCUCUUUCUGCAAGAUGCAUCUCCAUUAUUUGAGACCAAACAUCGUAGUUUGUCUCAGUGAGAAUAAUUCCAGCAUUAAAUACUCCAUCAGAUUGAACAGAUUGAAUAACAACAGGACUAGAUUCAGUUGGAGUUUUCUCCAUUUUUUUGUUUUCUUUUUUUUUCUUUUUUUUGUUUUUUUUUUGUUUGUUUUCUUUUUUUUUUGUUUGUUUUCUUUUUUUUCGUCUAGAUUGAAAGAAGAAAAAAAAUAACCUUUUUAGGUAACAAAACGACAGGUCGUUUGGCCACUGCUUACCAAACCGACAUGUCGGUUAUGGUGGAAUAUAAACGACAUGUCGUUUUAAUCCUGCUGCGCUUCUGGAGACUAAGCGUCACGUCGUUUUAUCUCUGAUUUAAAAACGACAUGUCGGUUUUAAUAUAACAAAAAAACGACACGUCGUUUUUUUACUGCUGCACUUCUGAGAUAAAAACGACAUGUCGGCUGACGUCGUCUUCAACCUCUGGAGCGCGUGAAAGCGCGUGAAUGAUGACAGAGGCGCGUGGUUGACUGGCCGUGGCUUCGGGUGGCGCGUGGGAGCGCGUGGGAAUGUGUUUAAAUGCGAAAUUUUUACAGUUUCCUCACUGAAAACUGAGAAAUUUGGUGGUGUUCUUGGUUUUUGAGGAACACACUCUCGGAAAAUUGAUGGGUUGUUGAUAAAUUUGUAAACUCAAGUUUUUUACGUAUGGGUGGCUUGUUUCUUGAUCGGCAUGGAUAUCUGUAAUGGUAGGAAUGGGUUUAAGAAGGAAAAUGGUGGGAAAAAUGGUUGUGGGAGGAAUUUGGUUUCCUCUGUUUUUGUUACAAACAGAGCAACGGAACUUGAAGAAACUUGAGCGUAUUCAUGGCUCUGAUACCAUGAAGAAACGUGUUUUCAUUUCUUAAAUAAAUCAUUAUACAUUGAGAGUUAUUUAUAGAUGCAGCGGCUACAUUUUUUCAAAGAUUACAUGUGUGAAUACGGAAGGAAAUGUGUCAAUCCGUUCGGCGCGGAUCUUGUCUUUGAUAAGUACAGAUUACCCCUUUGACAAGUGCAGAUUCUGUCUUUGAAAGUUUCAUUCAAUGCCGUUUUAUAUGAUUCUCAACACCCUGUACUUUCAAAAUCCAUUUGCAUAAUCAGCUGAUGAUGUUUACGACUCUUCCCUACUGACCUGAAGUCGUCCUUGGCAUUUUUCUAAACGUGUUCAUUUGAUCCUUGAUCUCAAUGGAUCAUUUGCAAUCUUCAUUACGUUUGUUGCCUUGGUGUCUGCUGUCUUCUUGAUAUUAGCAUUCACUUUUGGUUUAUCUAGAGGAGUAGGUUCAGCUUCUUUUAUCAUCUUGCUAUUAUUGUCGAUCACUCUGGCAGCAGUGGGAAUCUUGGGCUUGAUUUUCUACUGUGUGAGGAGAAAACCCAGAAGCAGAGGUAAAAGUUUCUCAAUUAAUUGCACGAUUGUGAGAGUUGAAUAAAUGUACACAUCUUAACUAUAAUCCAGGAAACUAAUUUAAAAAGGAUAGGGAUUCCUAAUGUGCAUUACAUCCUUCCCAAAAAAAAAAAAAAACACCCAUUUGAAAUGGUUAUGCUUCAAUAUUUUUCUUUUAUAGAAUGCAGUUAUGCGUCAACUUAAUUUUCAAAUCUCAUAGUUUAUGGAGCAUCACUUACUUACAAUUGAAAUAUGCUGGAAUUGAAAUGAACUUUAAUCGUAAUAAUUUGGAAUUAGAGUAGAGAAUAAAAAUUAAAAUAAGUUGAUUAUAUCACCUACAAAAAUAAUAAUCAGAAUUUAUAAUAUUCUCAUUAAUGUCUUUACUUUGUCUUAUAAUUGGAGUAGAUUGUUAAAAAGUUAUAAAAAUGCCAUUAGUUAAAAUUAUCUAUUUUCCAAUAACAAAAUAAAUAAAUAAACUUCUUAAAAGAAAGUAUAUGCAUGUUUGUUACAAUAAUAACAAUAAUAAUUCUGAUUUUAGUUCCUAGUAGAAUUAAAAAGUUUUAAGAGGUUAUAUAUUAUAAUUAUGCUCUGCCUACUCAUUACCAUUUUAGUAUUUUAAAUAGAAACAAUUUAAAAGUAGUCCUCCGCCUUUCAACCAGACGAAAAAAAAAAAAAGGAAAGAAAAAGAAAACAAGUACGCUUUUAUGGUCCAUUUGUGAUGGAAAUGCUUCAACCUUUUUUGACUUUUGAAACGCGGGUUCUAAAUACACUUCUUGCUUCAUUAAAAGAGUAGAACAAAUAAGAUGGACCCAUAUUCCCAAAACAGACAAUAAAAGGUCCUUACCAGAGUCCAGUAAGUGUCCAUAAUUUGUCAACAUACGAGUCAAAAACUGGUAAUGCAUGUAUAUAUAUAAUUGUAGAGACCAUGCUAAUUUUAGCUAAAUAUUUCACCUUCGCGUGUAUCACGCGUAAACUCUAGUAACUGAGACUUGGGAAAGUUCUGAAGAAUAUACAAACCCCAUGAAUAAUUCUGCUUGACACUGAUUGGGUAUAAUUAAAGUUUUUUUUUUAAUAUGUUUCACAAUUAUCUUACUGCCAAGUUUAUUCUUAAAAUUGUUCUUCUUAUUUUUAAACACUCAUUAUUGAUUUGGAAUAAUCAUAUGAUCGAUCUCAAUGGAUCGCUUUGCAGUCUUCAUUAUUUUUGUUGCCUUCGUGUCUGCUGUCUUCUUGAUAUUAGCAUUGACUUUUGGUUUGUCUAGUGGUAAUUUCUUUUACAGUCCACUAGCAAUUUCUUGCUUAGUCUUGUCGAUCACUCUGGCAGCAGUGGUCAUUUUAGGCUUGAUUUUCUAUUGUGUGAGGAGAAAGCCCAGAAGCAGAGGUAAAAUUUUCUCAUUUCAUUACAUGAUUUUGAGAGUUGAAUAUACUUACAUACCUAUACAUAUCUUAAUUAAAGCUUUAAUUUCUGCACCAUUCAGGGGAGGAUUUGAUGAUGUUUGAUUUGGAUUUGAACCUGAAAGCGGAUCCCGCAAACAAUAAACGGACAAAAGGAAGCAAAAGGAAGGAAGUUGAUCAAUUGCCCUUAUUCAGUUUUUCCAGUGUUUCUACUGCAACAAAUAAAUUCUCCGACGCAAAUAGGCUCGGAGAGGGUGGUUUUGGACCUGUUUAUAAGGUAAUAAAGACAUCAUUUUCUUUGGAACAAUAGUUUCAUUUUUAAUAGAACUAUAAAUAUACCAUUUUCAGGGAGUAUUGAAAAAAGGAGAUGAGAUAGCAGUGAAAAGGCUUUCAGGAAGAUCUGGACAAGGACUGCGAGAGUUAAAAAAUGAAGCUUCAGUGAUAGCCAAGGUUCAGCACAAGAAUCUUGUUAGACUUUUGGGCUGCUGCAUUGAUAGAGAUGAGAAGAUUCUGAUCUAUGAAUACAUGCCAAUGAGAAGUUAAGCGCAUGACUAGCCAUCACCGAAAAGGUUAGGUUGUCUCAAUAAAAAUUAAGCAACCACUCUAUAUUUUAAAAGACCAUUUAGAAACUAAUAAAUUUAAUAUUCAAUUAUUUUUUAAUCAAAAUAAAUUAUAAAUUAUCAUUACAGCAACAUCCACAAGCCCAAAUAUCUAAAAAAAAAGGAUAAUUCUCAAAAAAAUAAAGAUAAAAAACUUUUGAAAAUUUCUUUAAAAAACUAAUAAAUAACUAACUUCCUUUUGUAUUAUUCCUUAUUUAUCUUUUUAUGACUUUUUUGGACUACAUUUAGAAAUUUAAAAAAUUAAAUUGGCUCCCUUGUAUUUCAAGGGUGAUAUUUUAUAGGUAAACUAACAUAUUAUAUAUAUAAGCAAACUAACAUGUCAAUUAAUACUAAAAACAUAAGGAUCUUCCUGUAACUUAGGGUUUGUCAAAACAUAAAUAUAGUGAAAAAGUAAAGCUUUAUAAUGAUAAAAUAAUAAAGUGUUACAACCUAAUACUUCUUACAUAUUUUUUAUUUUGAAAUUUCAUCUUUUUUAAUUUUACAAUUUUAUGAAGUACUAAAAGGUUAAUAACCCAUAUUUUUAAUACAUAUUUAAUUUAUUUAUUCUAUAUUAAAUAUAUAUGAUAUAGAAAAAUAUUGUUUACAUUUAUAAAUUUUCAUGUGUUUAAAAAUUUUUAUGUGAUAUUACAUUGUUGUCCUUAUACCGUCACUCAUUUUUAUGGUCAAACUAAGUCAACAGUUCAAACUUUAAAAAUUUAAAACAACAUGAGUUAUAUAAAUAAAUAUUUAAAAAAAUUUAGCCUUUAUUAUAAUGUAAUAAAUUGUAGGGGCUGCAUUUUUAAUAACUAAUUGAAUACAUCUAAGUCCUUCCAUAACUAAGCUAUUAGAUCUAUUGAGUAAAUUAGAAAAGGGCAAAGUUUGGGGUACCUUGCAGCUGUUGCAAGGUAGCUGGACCCUAUUUAUAAUACAGAGCUGCUAUUUACCCCGAGUCAAACCCCGAAAAUCCCCAAAACGACGCCGUUUUGCUGUGAUUUGUUUCCUUUUAAUUUCCAAACGAACCGUUUUGAUUCAGCUCUCACGCGAGUUCUCCAGCCACAAUUGCCAUCACGCUAGCCAUCACCCACAAAAUCUUCUCCAGCCACAAUUGCCAUCGCUCGCAGACGACGGACCACAGCCAAUCAGCCAUCACACGAGGUCUAUGUUGCCAUCAUCGACAGUCACGCGAUAGCCGGCACUCACAAAGCUACAACGCUGGAAUUGUAUCACACACACAAAUCAACAACAAUUCCAAUAGCAAAAAAAAUAUCACACACACACAAACACAAAUCUCAAUCAACCAAAUUAUCACACACACACACAAACACAAAUCCCAAUCAAUUUUGUGAGUGUUGGUUGUCGUGUGACUGCCGGUGAUGGCAACGGCGACCUCGAUCGCGUGAUGGUUGUGGUCUGUCCUCUGUGGCUCCCGUGAUGGCUAUGAGAACUCGAGGAAUGCUUCAUGAAACAGUUCUUUUUGGAGCUUCAUUCAAGGCAUUUUCAAUUUAGCUAUGUCUUUCCAAACAAAAGGAAAAAAGUUUUCAAACGGUGCGUUUGUUAUUUAUGUAAAACGGUGAGUUUCAUUCAGGGCGCAAGUUGGAGUAAAUAGCUUUUUCAUUUAUAAUAUGCUUGGAAUGGAAAGAAAUUAAAACUAGGUGCCAUGCAGCGAAACCAUUCUGACUCAGCAUUGAAACAUUUUUAGGUGGUUUUAGUAAGGCUUUAACUACUUGGCUUCUAGAAUAUCAAAUUAGCCUGGGCUUUACAUCGUUGGCCCAAAUGAGGAAUCAGGAAGCCAUUGGGCUUUUAAGGCCUACAUUCCUCUGGAUUUUUCCUGGCUCACAGCUUCUUACUGGGUCAAAAUGUCUGCGCGGGCUAGUUUCAUAGCCAUUUAAAAGCAAAACACGGCCCCGAACCACCAACUCAACAUUUCCGGACAUGGAGAAUUUUCAUCUCCUUCAGCCUGUUAUAUGAAAAAUAUUAAAAUCUUGCUAACAAAUAUCCACAUCCUCCUCUUGAUUUCCGUGAUCAGAGAGUGUCAAUCACUAGUGCUGAGGAGACUUUUCAUUCUGCCUAAUAUGUUACAACUUGACUUCCUUUCUUCUUGUAAACAGAAGCUUCAAGUCAACCAAAGCCUUUCAUAGAGUUCAAAAAUCAUCUUUUGCUUUAGUUGAUGCCACGAAAGUCUCUUUCAUCCUUGUGAAAAUAAUCUCGCCUCACUGUGCAGUAUCAGUUUAACCUGUAUAUGAUAUUUACCAAGUACCAGGUUUUCGAAGCCUUCACAGGAUCAGCAUUCGAGGCCUUCAGGAAUCGGAUAGAGGAUGAAAAAUAUAUAGCAUGACAAUAUGCCAUGGAUUCAGCAUAUAGACAAUGUCUGCUGCCUUAACCCAUUAGUAGACUGGAAGAAGUGCUAUUCUUGUAGAAUUCCUACCAUUGUGGGGCCUUCUGCUUCACCCACCAAAUGCAAGAGGACAUACAAUUCGUUUAGCCAGUUUCUGAAUUUUCCACGGGUCCACAUUUAUUUUGGCUUAUAUAAUUGGCCUGUAUAUAGUCAGCUAAGUCAAUAUCAAGGGGCAAGAGCAUCUUCUAAUGGUGGGCACCAAUUUCUCUCGUGUCAUAUUUUUUGUUUUCCUUCAUAAAAUUAUGUGAUAACUAUAUUUUCUUUCCCGGAUUUUCAUGUUUGAUUUUUCAACUAUGUUGACUCGAGUCUUCUCUGCCAAAAUGGAUAUCAUAUAAACAUCUUUCAACCACAAAGUCUUCAAAGUUCACAGAGAUUAGCUUUCCUCCACCUGAAUUCAUGGCAAAGAUUCAAACCAAGAAAGUCCUCAAAUCUUCAUCCCCUCUCAUUUUUCUCCUCCAUCUCUUGUCAGUUGGACUUACUUGUGCAGCAUAUAGUCUUCCUGACAAGUAUUUCAUCAACUGUGGUUCAGACACCGACGUGAAUUCUGGCAAUCGGAUAUUCAGAGGGGACCUGAAUUCAGAUUCCAUCUCUUUUUCAAAGCAGAGCCAUCCUGUUAAAAACAGCAGCCAGUUACCAGAUACAUUAGCUCUCUAUCAAACAGCAAGAGUUUUCAAUCAAUUAUCUUAC
rnacentral:lncRNA from 1 species